GCGCAGGAUCUGAACUCACGAACUGUAAGAUCAUGAUCGAGCUGAAAUUGGAUGCUUAACCAACUGAGCCAGCCACCCAGGUGCCCCUAAAUAAAAUCUUAAAAAAAAAAAAAAAAGCUAUGGAUCAAAGAUCAAGAGAAAGAGUGGCAAUCCUUUUACUCAUUACUGCUUAUUGAUAAUUGUGUUAUGAAGAGUUGUAUAGAUACAUAGUUUUCAUUUCAAAAGUCUUUUAUAUGAGGGGGAAGAGGAUGAAGCAGUAACAAAACUGGUGUCAACCAUUUUCCUAAUUUGCAGUCUAUUUACACUUUAGAAUGUAUCUGGGUUUUUUAGGCUUAACUGAUUUUUUUUCAAGAUUUAAAAAAUUUUUGAAGUAAUCUGUCCCCAACAUGGGGCUCAAAGUCAACCCGAAGAUGAAGAGUUGCAUGGUCUACCAACUGUGCCAGCCAGGCAUGCACUAAUUUUUAAAAGUAAAGUUGCUGGUUUACAAUUUGUAUUACUGUUGCAUAUUGAGUAAUGUGUACACUUUGAAUAAUUGCUGCAUUAGAAUUAAAUUUGUUAUGAAGUUGAUUUAGCAGUACUUCUUUCCUUAUUUUGGCUUUGUUUUUAUCUACUAGCUAAAGAAAAGUGCCUUAUAGUUAUCCCUGAAUACCAGUGUUUAAGAAACAUUGACUGAAUUAGAUCAUCUUGUGUCUUAGCUAUAGAAAAAAGUUUUGGGAUUAAAGUGCCAUUGCCACUGCAACAAUAAAGUUUUCUUCUCUGAGCUGGGAUAUUUUAUUUCAUUCAAAUUUUCUCUUGGCAAUAUGUAAAAUAAAUGAAUAGAAUUCUAAAAAAUGAACCUUAGGUAAAACAGAAACUAAUGACAUUCUCAUAGGAAAACCCUAAAAACUGGGUAGUCUAACAUGAUUGAUAUUUUUGUGAGUUAACUUUUUAAAAUGAUUAUAUUUUUAUUUCAAAAAUAAUGUGUGUAGUAUGGAGUCUACAAAAUACAGUUAAGAGCAAAUAAGAAAGUUAAAUCAUGAGCUGAUUUUAAAAAUUAUUGGUGUAUUUGAAUUUAUGAGUAAUAUGGAUAUAUCUGUAGUAAAACUAGUUUUUAAGUUAGGGCGCCUGGGUGGCUCAGUUGGUUAAGCAUCUGACUUUGGCUCAGGUUGUGAUCUCACAGUUUGUGGGUUUGAGCCUCGUCAUGCUCUGUAGUGACAGCUCAGAGCCUAGAGCCUGCUUCAGAUUCUGUGUCUUCCUUUGUGCCCACCUCCUCCACCUGUGUUCUUGCUCUCUCUCAAAAAUAAAUAGACUUAAAAAAAUAGUUUUAAGUCAUUUGUGCAUGCUGGUAAGAGGGUAGACUUUAUCCUUAAUUAUUGUUUCUGCAAUUUCUUAGUAUUUUUUAUCCCAGAAAAAGAACUUUGUUGUGGCUGUAGUCACAGAGGAGCAGAUUUGGAUCUUGAAAAUUAUGCGUUGUACCUACCUAUAUGCUUGCUGUGACUUGGUUUUGUCUACCUAAAUAUUUGAAGCCACAAAAUUUCCCUGUAUCUCUUAUGCCACCUACUUUGGUUUCAUAAUAGGCACCCCUUACAUAACUUUUAGUGUUCCCCAAAGGAAUUAUUCUACAAAAUAGUUUCCAAUGUAUCAGGACUCUACUUUUCUCCUAGUAUGCAUAUGAUCAAAUUGAAUAAGUCCUAAUUCCUAGUGCACAGUAUAAAUAAUCCAUCCUUUAAGGUACUUUGUACUCUGCUAAAAUUAAGAUUAAAACAUAAUGUAUAUAUUUUUCACUAAGCCAGAAGCAAUCUAUAUUUAAGGAUUUGUGUUUUGUGCGCUGUUCCAAGAGGGUCUGAUAAUCCCUGUGAUUAGAGAAACGUAAGAUUUAUGUUUGCUGUGGAGAAACAUGAUCAUCUUGGUUACUAUGAAUCAUUCUGGAAACAUCCCAUCUCUGUUUCCCAAUUACUCAGAUCAUUAGAUCAAAUUUAGUUCAGUUCAACAAACAUGAAGCACCUUUUAAUGUCUCAACAAGUCUACAGUGAUACAGGGAACACAAGCAUAUAAACAAUUACAAUGCAAUGUGAAGCAAAGGGUGGAAAGUGCUGGAGAUGUCAUUUAUCAUAUCAUGAAGACAAGAAUCCACCACACUUGGCCAUAAGAGAAGAAGAAGAAGAAGAAGAAGAAGAAGAAGAAGAAGAAGAAGAAGAAGAAUAUGGACUCUGCUGUUAGCUAGAUCUGAAUUCCAGCCCCAGCCCCACCUUUGCCACCUAGUAGUUGAGAGGCCUGGGCAAGUUACUUCGUUUCCCCUCAGAAGAAUACCUACCCAUGAGGUUGUUGCAGGAAGCAAAUGGUAUAAUACUUAUAAAUCACUUAGUACAAUUUCUGCCAUAUCAAUAAAUAGCAGCUCUUGUUAUAAAUUUUGAUCUGAUAAAAAUUUUACUUAAAAAAAUAAAACCUUUCAUUGGGAAAGAAAAAAUGAUAACA